rnacentral:tRNA from 1 species
GCUGCCCGAAGGGCAGAGCCCACACCACCCUCUCAAGGUGGCGGCACGGGUUCGAAUCCCGUUGGGAGUGCCA